rnacentral:rRNA from 1 species
UACAGAGGGUGCGAGCGUUAAUCGGAAUUACUGGGCGUAAAGCGUGCGUAGACGGUAGCGUAAGUCAGAUGUGAAAGCCCCGGGCUCAACCUGGGAACUGCAUUUGAGACUGCUCUGCUCGGGUGCGGAAGAGGGAAGCGGAAUUUCCGGUGUAGCGGUGAAAUGCGUAGAGAUGCGGAGGAACACCGAUGGCGAAGGCAGCCCCCUGGGCUAACACUGACGCUCAGGCACGAAAGCGUGGGGAGCAAACAGG